UUGAACGCUGGCGGCAUGCUUUACACAUGCAAGUCGCACGGCAGCGCGGGGCAACCUGGCGGCGAGUGGCGAACGGGUGAGUAAUAUAUCGGAACGUACCCAGAAGUGGGGGAUAACGUAGCGAAAGUUACGCUAAUACCGCAUACGAUCUACGGAUGAAAGUAGGGGACCGCAAGGCCUUAUGCUUUUGGAGCGGCCGAUAUCUGAUUAGCUAGUUGGUGAGGUAAAGGCUCACCAAGGCGACGAUCAGUAGCUGGUCUGAGAGGACGACCAGCCACACUGGAACUGAGACACGGUCCAGACUCCUACGGGAGGCAGCAGUGGGGAAUUUUGGACAAUGGGCGCAAGCCUGAUCCAGCAAUGCCGCGUGAGUGAAGAAGGCCUUCGGGUUGUAAAGCUCUUUUGUCAGGGAAGAAACGGUAGAGGCUAAGAUCCUUUGCUAAUGACGGUACCUGAAGAAUAAGCACCGGCUAACUACGU
rnacentral:rRNA from 1 species